UACGUAGGGUGCAAGCGUUGUCCGGAUUUAUUGGGCGUAAAGAGCGUGUAGGCGGUUUGGUAGGUCCGCUGUGAAAACUCGAGGCUCAACCUCGAGACGCCGGUGGAAACCAUCAGGCUAGAGUCCGGAAGAGGAGAGUGGAAUUCCUGGUGUAGCGGUGAAAUGCGCAGAUAUCAAGCGGAACACCGGUGGCGAAGGCGGCCUUCUGGACAGUGACUGACGCUGAGACGCGAAAGCGUGGGGAGCAAACAGG
rnacentral:rRNA from 1 species